GGCCCCCUGGACAAGACUGACGCUCAGGUGCGAAAGCGUGGGGAGCAAACAGGAUUAGAUACCUGGUAGUCACGCUGUAAACGAUGUCGAUUUGGAGGUGUUCCGUGAGGAGUGGCUUCCGGAGCUAACGCGUUAAAUCGACCGCUGGGGAGUACGGCCGCAAGGUUAAAACUCAAAUGAAUUGACGGGGGCCCGCACAAGCGGUGGAGCAUGUGGUUUAAUUCGAUGCAACGCGAAGAACCUUACCUACUCUUGACAUCCAGAGGAUUUAGCAGAGAUGCUUUAGUGCCUUCGGGAACUCUGAGACAGGUGCUGCAUGGCUGUCGUCAGCUCGUGUUGUGAAAUGUUGGGUUAAGUCCCGCAACGAGCGCAACCCUUAUCCUUUGUUGCCAGCACAUUAUGGUGGGAACUCAAAGGAGACUGCCGGUGAUAAACCGGAGGAAGGUGGGGAUGACGUCAAGUCAUCAUGGCCCUUACGAGUAGGGCUACACACGUGCUACAAUGGCGUAUACAAAGAGAAGCGACCUCGCGAGAGCAAGCGGAACUCAUAAAGUACGUCGUAGUCCGGAUUGGAGUCUGCAACUCGACUCCAUGAAGUCGGAAUCGCUAGUAAUCGUAGAUCAGAAUGCUACGGUGAAUACGUUCCCGGGCCUUGUACACACCGCCCGUCACACCAUGGGAGUGGGUUGCAAAAGAAGUAGGUAGCUUAACCUUCGGGAGGGCGCUUACCACUUUGUGAUUCAUGACUGGGGUGAAGUCGUAACAAGGUAACCA
rnacentral:rRNA from 1 species